AGUGAACGCUGGCGGUAGGCCUAACACAUGCAAGUCGAACGGCAGCACAGUAAGAGCUUGCUCUUACGGGUGGCGAGUGGCGGACGGGUGAGGAAUACAUCGGAAUCUACUUUUUCGUGGGGGAUAACGUAGGGAAACUUACGCUAAUACCGCAUACGACCUACGGGUGAAAGCAGGGGAUCUUCGGACCUUGCGCGAUUGAAUGAGCCGAUGUCGGAUUAGCUAGUUGGCGGGGUAAAGGCCCACCAAGGCGACGAUCCGUAGCUGGUCUGAGAGGAUGACCGGCCAAAUGGGAAUGAGGCAAGGUCCCAGCUUCCAACGGAGGGAAGAGGUGGGAAUAUUGGACAAUGGGCGCAAGCCUGAUCCAGCCAUACCGCGUGGGUGAAGAAGGCCUUCGGGUUGUAAAGCCCUUUUGUUGGGAAAGAAAAGCAGCAGGUUAAUACCCCGCUGUUCUGACGGUACCCAAAGAAUAAGCACCGGCUAACUUCGUG
rnacentral:rRNA from 1 species